rnacentral:rRNA from 1 species
GAUGAACGCUGGCGGCGUGCCUAAUACAUGCAAGUCGAGCGAACGGACGAGAAGCUUGCUUCUCUGAUGUUAGCGGCGGACGGGUGAGUAACACGUGGAUAACCUACCUAUAAGACUGGGAUAACUUCGGGAAACCGGAGCUAAUACCGGAUAAUAUUUUGAACCGCAUGGUUCAAAAGUGAAAGACGGUCUUGCUGUCACUUAUAGAUGGAUCCGCGCUGCAUUAGCUAGUUGGUAAGGUAACGGCUUACCAAGGCAACGAUGCAUAGCCGACCUGAGAGGGGGGUCGGCCACACUGGAACUGAGACACGGUCCAGACUCCUACGGGCGGCAGCAGUAGGGAAUCUUCCGCAAUGGGCGAAAGCCUGACGGAGCAACGCCGCGUGAGUGAUGAAGGUCUUCGGAUCGUAAACUCUGUUAUUAGGGAAGAACAUAUGUGUAAGUAACUGUGCACAUCUUGACGGUACCUAAUCAGAAAGCCACGGCUAACUACGUG